AGGCUCCAAGAAGCUCAGCUGGAGAGCAUGUGCUUGAGAAUGUGCGUGUGAGCAUGCGUGCACAUACGUGUGUGAACACUCAUCAGCAUGCAUGCCACGCCCAGCCAACCACCUCCCAUGCUAAAAGUCACAGCCUUCUGGAGAGGCUGGAAGGGGGCCUCAUGCUGUGGGACUUGUCAAAUGUAGUCCAGGAAAGUUGGAUGCAGCACCCAUGCUCCGCUGGGCACCGUCAGGGGGAGGAGAGAAUCAAGUAUCCGGGGCUGAGUGCCGGGUAAAGGUGCCAGGCAGAGGAGGCCCCCACCUAGGGCCACUAGGCCUAGUUUGCUGAGUGAGGGUGACCUGUGACUGUUAUCACCAUGGAUGCUUAUAUCCAAAGGCCCCAUCUGGGAGCCAUCCUCAAUGAGACCCUACAGCACCCAACAGUGGGCCUCAACUUGCUGAUUCAUUUACUCUCCCACUGGUCACCACACAAAGACAGUUACUAAUAAUAAAAAUUAAAGUUAUCACCACCAUGAUCAUGAUCAUCAUCAAUGCUACCAUUCACUGAGUGUUUCGUUUAUACGAGGCACAGUGCUGUAUACGCACUUUAAAUUCUUUUUAAAUUUUACUGUGAUAAGAACAGUAAACAUGAGAUCUAUCCUCUUAAUACAUUGGGUUUUUUUUUGUUUUUUUUUCUCUUAAUACAUUGGGUUAAGUGUCCAAUACAUUAUUGUAUUUUCCCACUCAAUCUCCACAACCUCUGAGAAGGUACUUUUACUGUUCCCAUUUUACAAGUGAAGAAAAUGAGUAAGGCUCAUAGAGAUUAACCAACUCGUUCCAGGUCACUCUGCAAGAAAAUGAUAAAAGCAGGACUCACACCAGUCAAAUGACUCCAGAACCCACUCUCUCAGAAAAGGCCAGGUGAUAUGGCAUUCACAUGCCUCAGAAAACUGAGGCUCAGCCAGGACCACACAGCCAGUGAGUUGGGAUUCAGACCCAACUGAUGUUCUGCAUACCAUCCUGCCUCCCCAGGGCCUGCCCACCCAGAUCUUUCCCUUUGUUUUUGUUUUGUUUUGUUUUGUUUUUUGUUUUUUUUUUUAGAUCUUUCCCUUUGAUCCCUGAUACCCGCUCCUGGGCUUCAGGUGGGCCAUAGACAGCAGGUGGCCCAGGGACCCACUCACAUGCUCUCAGCCCAGGGCAGCUCACGUACUCCCCUUUCCUCCCUUCAGUGCAAAACUCAGCAUUCUGUGUCAUCUCUCCCCUUAACCACCCCUUCCAAUUCACCAUCACGAGGUUAGGAGCCCUGGCAUCAGAAGCACGACGGCAGAGGGGGCUGCUGCCACCCCAGCUCCUCCCUCCCUGGACCCCAGAUGGCCAGCACACUGAGCAGCCUGCUGGGAGGGCUUCCCUCGGCACCAGGCAGGGACACAUUCAGGACGCAUACAGCAAGGCUAAUGCCCACAGGAACACUUGAGACAUCAUUGGGAAUUGAGGAUAAAUAAAUGCCCCCCUCAGAAAAGCCCCUUCACCUCUCUGGUCUUCAGUCAUCUCUUCUGUAAACUACCUAUACCACCUUCCACAUGAGGUUAUGCUAGAGGUGAGAGAGGCUCAUAAGAUCCGGAUGUGACAGCACUCUGAGCCAGGAAGCCACGCAGACAGGAGAUGAUAAUGAUAUUCUUUGCUCAGCAUGAGUUCAACUCUUGCCUCACCUUUGGAGGUAGCUUCGGAGAGCCUAAAGUGCCUUAGACAUGCUACAAGGACAGCCACAGAAAACAGAGCCCCAGCCAAAAGCAGCCUGCGUGGGCUUCCUAUAAAAUUGUGUUGGAAAUAGUUGCAGAGCCAACUUCUGGGGGAUUGACCUGUUCAGUCACUUAAGGCCUUGUGCUUAGAAGAGCCCUGUCCAGGGGCACCUGGGGGGGCUGCCUUUGGCUCAGGUCAUGAUCUCAGGGCCCAGGGAUUGAGUCCCACGUCCUCAGGCUCCCUGCUCAUCAGGGAAUCUGCUUUUCCCUCUCCCUCUGCCCCCACCCCCACUCCUUCCCCCACUCGUGCUCGCUUGCUGUCUCAAAUAAAUAAAUAAAUAAAUAAAUAAAUAAAAUCUUAAAAGAAAAGAGAA